rnacentral:lncRNA from 1 species
GAGCCUGGAUAGCUCAUGUAGCUCCUCAUUAGAGGGCCGAGAUUCAAAACAAACAACGAGAGUCCGAGAAGCCAUUUUGAACAAUCAGGAAGAUUCAAUGACUAUGUAGUAAAGAGAUCCAAACACUCUAGAGGCUUAGGUUUGUCACUUAUACCACUGUGGGGGAGGUGGGUACAACCAUAAAUAAAAGGUCACACAAGCUACAGAACCAAAGCUGUGUGAAGAGAUGAUUCUCAACAACUAGGUGCCCACUUAACUGUGGAAAAAGAUCUUCUUUUAACAAUAUGGGAAAGCUGAAGUGUUCAAAAUCAUGAGUGACAAAGGCAGUGGAGGGAAUAGGAACUCUCCUUUUGUAACCUUUGAAGACCAUGACUCCAAAGGUAGGACAAUCAUUCAGAAAUACCAUCUUGUGAAUGGCCACUGUUGUGAAGUAAGAGAAACCUUGUGGAAGCAGAAAUGGCUAGUUCUUCAUCUAGCCUAUGAGGUCACAAAGUCACUUUUAGUAACAAUGAUAUGAUGAACUUUGAGGCAGCUGAGCUGGGGGGUGGUAGUUUAGAAUUUGGUGGCUAUAAUGGAUUUGAUAGUGGUGAUUGUAGAGGUGAUGGCCCUGUUUACAGUGGAAGUAACAGAGGCUAUAGUAGUGGUGGGCAGGUUUAUGAGAAACAGGGCAGUGGCUAUGCUGGGAGUGACAUCUAGAAAAUCCAUAAACCAAGCUGCUAGAGAGAGCUUCGAUAAUGAGGGUUGGAGAAAUUUUGGAGAUGGAAGAAACUACAGUGGUUUUGGAAAUUCCACAAUUGGUCUUCAGAGUUUGGGUCUAUGAAAAGAAGAAACUCUGGAGGCAGAAGCUCUAGCCCCCUAUCAUGGUUGAGGCCAACAACUUGAGAAACCACGAAACCUAAGUGGAUCGAGCAGUUCCUGCACAGUGGUUGGCUAUGACAGCACAGAAGGUUUUAA